UGAAACAAGGGGAAGGGCUCACAUAGAGGCAGCAGUAGAGAAUCUUGUGCAAUGCACGAAAGUAUGACACAGAGAGGACACAUUUAAUUGAGCCCGUCAAAUUAAGUGCCAGCCGACGCGGUUAGACUUAAGGGCUGGUCUUUAUAAGUAAAAAGGCGUAAAGGAUGUGUAGGCCAAGAAAUUGUCCAAGAAGGUAAAUGGAAUUUUUCUGGAGCGGUAGAAUGUGAGGAUAGAAAAUAGAACACCUAAGGUUAAAACUAUUUACCACAAAAUAGGCUGAAACAUGAAAGUGUGGGGAGCAAACAGGAUUAGAGACCCUGGUAGUCCACACUGUGAACUUUGAAGAUGAUGCUUAGCAGACCCGAAAGGUAAAAUCUUCCGCCUGAGUAGUACGAUCGCAAGAUUAAAAUUCAAAAACUUUGGCUGUUCACUAUUUCGAUUAGAGGAGCGUGUAGUUUAAUUCGAUGGUCCGCGUGUUACCUUACCCCAGCUUGAAUCUAUGACCGGUAUUGCAUGGCCGUCGUAAGUCCGUGUGUUAAGCUAGAAGGGACCCAAUCCGGGCGUUUGCCCGAAGGAAGUCAGGUCUUAUGAUCCGAAUGUUGGGGGAUUUUAUGCGCUACAUUUUCUUAUAUAAUGAGAGACUUGAAAGGUAAGCCUCUAAAGUAAGAGUUCGGAAGGUCGCUGUAAAACGACUGGAAGUUGGAUUUAAUAGUAAUCGGAAAGUAGGGCGUUCCGGUGAAUUGGUACAAGUGUUAGCACAAAUUGCCCGUCACCUUUACCUAGGAUGGUUAUUCGGACGCCUUCGGUGGUU
rnacentral:rRNA from 1 species